GAAAAUUUUUAAUUCUAAUAUUGUUGACAAGGUAAUUAAGUUACAUAAAGUCUCUCACAUAUUAUGCGUUAUAAUUUACCAGUUUAUAAUUAACAAAUCACAGUACUUUUCUUAUUGCUGAUUCUUAUACGAAAAAAAAAUCAUAUCUGAGAUUUUGGAGUACUGUAUAAAUAAAAUUAUA